GAUUAACGCUGGCGGCGUGCAUAACACAUGCAAGUCGAACGAUGAAACUUAAAUGAUUUCUUCGGAAUGAACUUAAGUGGAUUAGUGGCGGACGGGUGAGUAACGCGUGAGUAACCUGCCUUACACAAGGGGAUAGCCGUUGGAAACGACGAAUAAUACCCUAUGAUGUUUCUAUCUCGCAUGAGAUAUUAACCAAAGUGUUAGCGGUGUAAGAUGGACUUGCGUCUGAUUAGCUAGUUGGUGAGAAAAAAGCCCACCAAGGCAACGAUCAGUAGCCGGCUUGAGAGAGUGUACGGCAACAUUGGGACUGAGACACGGCCCAGACUCCUACGGGAGGCAGCAGUGGGGAAUUUUGCACAAUGGGGGAAACCCUGAUGCAGCGACGCCGCGUGAUUUAGAAGGCCUUCGGGUUGUAAAAAUCUUUUGUAUAGGAAGAAAAUGACAGUACUAUACGAAUAAGGUCCGGCUAAGUACGUG
rnacentral:rRNA from 1 species